UUUAUGCGAAUAACCGGUGUGAAUUGCAGAAUUCAGUGAAUCAUCGAAUCUUUGAACGCACCUUGCGCUCCUUGGUAUUCCGAGGAGCAUGCCUGUUUGAGUGUCAUGAAAUUCUCAACCUUUGUUACUUUUUUUGUUUCAAAGAGUCUGGAAGUGGAGGUUGCUGGCUUUUGUUGAAAGAGUCGGCUCCUCUGAAAUACAUUAGUGGGACCCAUCGUUGAUUAGCUCCCUGGUGUGAUAGUUAUCUACGCCGUGGCUCAUCACGAUAUUGUGUGGUUCAGCUUUCUAACGAGACAACAACAACUGUCUUUGAUUAUUUUGACCUCAAAUCAGGUAGGACUACCCGCUGAACUUAAGCAUAUCAAUAAGGCGGAGGAA
rnacentral:rRNA from 1 species